rnacentral:rRNA from 1 species
CCUACGGGAGGCUGCAGUCGAGGAUCAUUCGCAAUGGGCGAAAGCCUGACGAUGCGACGCUGUGUGAACGAUGAAGGCCUUCGGGUUGUAAAGUUCUUUCGCCUGGGAGCGUGUACUAGGUAAAGAAGCACCGGCUAACUCCGUGCCAGCAGCUGCGGUAAUACGGAGGGUGCAAGCAUUAAUCGGAUUUAUUGGGCGUAAAGGGCGCGUAGGCGGGUAUGUAAGUCAGAUGUGAAAUUCCGGAGCUCAACUUCGGAGCUGCAUAUGAAACUACAAAUCUAGAGGAAGGGCGGAGAAAACGGAAUUCCACGUGUAGCGGUGAAAUGCGUAGAUAUGUGGAAGAACACCGGUGGCGAAAGCGGUUUUCUAGCUUAACCUGACGCUGAGGCGCGAGAGCAAGGGGAGCAAACAGGAUUAGAUACCCUUGUAGUC